GUAAGUGGUGCCCGCCCAUGGGUUGUUAUCUAUAAUAGAAUAGGGAGGUGUUUGUUUCAGAAUUCACAGUAAGGCUUUAGACAUUAAGAGGAAAUCAAGGGUUUCAAUGGCAAAAUCGAUCUGUAAUACUUGUCAGAAUCUCAUCGUCGUGGGUUCAGAUGAGGAAAACGAUCGCAGAGAAUGCACUUGUCCACUUGAAGAGAGAAGGCCGAUGGUUCUGUGUGCCCUAUGUGAUCGCAUGUUCGACGACGUGAAGGAUCUGAAGCGACACCAGAAAAGGAUGCACAAAGGCGCUCGCCUUUGCAAGGUCUGCGGGAUUCGGCUCGCCACUAAGCCAAAGCUAAUUGCUCAUUAUGAGAGCGAGCACCCGUGGAUUCAAAUCCGCCGAGUGCUCGUCGUCGUCUUUUUUUCUUUUCUUUUUUUUUUUUUUUCAUCGUCUUUUCAUCUUCUUUGUUAAUUUUGGUUUGAAUUUUAUUUUUUCUUGUCUACUUUACGUCAAUUUUUCUUUCUUCUUCUUCUUUUCUUUUUCUUGCUCAACAUUCUGUCUCUCAUCUGCCGAGCACGGUCCACACUUUUCUCUCGUCUCUCUCAUACGCUGAGUAGAGUUCAUCUUUCUGAAUUUCAAUUUCUGAAGCUGUAUGCUCGAUUAAGUGGUAAGAUCUCCUUUCUCUCUCAAUAUACUUCAGGAAAUUCACUUAUGGUAACUUUUACAUGAUUUUAAUGUGGCGGGUUUCUAAUAACUUCUUGUUUAUGUUAUCUGUUCAUGACUUGAACUAUGUGUGUUUAUGAUUUCCCAAUUAUGUACAAUUGAUAUGUCCUUUAUAUUUUCUCCCUAUUUCUUUUUCUGAAUUUGGUUGACUUGACACCUAUUGUUGGACUUUAUAUAUAUAUAAAUGUGUAUAUGUGUGUUGUGUGCUUGAGUAGGACAGAGAAGCUUGGGAUAAAUUCAAGAAAAUUGGAGUUGUGAUAUCACAUGUUGGUUGUUUUAUGCUCCAUCUUGACCGAAUGUUUUUUUGGCAAAAUCGAACUGCGCAAGUGUCUGAUUCUGAAUUUACAGUACUGUGUCAUAGAAUUGUUAGAUUGGUUCCUUUGAGUAGUGAUUGGAAACUUCAUAGUUAAUGCUCAGUUCAGUCAGUGGUAAUUGGAAUUUUAUGCUGCAGCAUGCUGAUCUUCAACAGCUGAGAGAGUUCCCAUUCAUGUAUGAGACAGUGGCAAGUUUACUUUUAUAGCAGCUUGGCAGAGUUGUUGAGAUACACACGGUCUCUGCUGGAACAAGAGCAGACCUAGGUGUGCAGUGUUUUCUAUCUGAAAGCAUUUACUCUAAGUUUACUUUUGUCUCACUUGCCUGAUGUUGUGUCUCAUGCUUUAGAGAGGAAAGUGGAGAGAUUGAUAUGGGUGAUUCUGAUUCUAGAAAGAAAGCUCAUUUGCUCUGUUGGAAGAACGUUUCUUUGCCAAAAGCUGAGGGUGGUUUUGAUGUGAAGAAGAUCUCUGACAUUCAGAAGUUUUUCUCCUGUUCAAUAGCUUGAGAUUUGUUAGGAAGAUGGAGUCUCUGAGUGAUAUAAUAUACAUAUUAGAGGGUCUGCCUAUUGGAGCUUCAUUCCUUCUUCUUCUCAAUCAGGUUUUUGGAAACAUGACUGUCAGAUAGAGAAAGUAUGUUAUAUAAUGUGUGUACUACAGUAGGAACAGAGUCUUCUUCUACCUUUCAAUGAUCCUUGGUGUGCUGGUCUUACUUUCCUGUAGAAUUUUGGUCAUCCUGUUGUUAGGUUCUUCCCUUUCUCAAGACAACUUCAGUCAGUGUUUUUAUUCAAGGAGGUGGAUGGAAUCUGAAUUUUUUGGGAUCAUGUGAAUUACAUGAGGCAUUUUAUUUCUGCUUUGCCUAUUUUACAUGAGAAUGGCAGGGGACUCUUUCACUUUCAAGAGAGCGUAGGAGAAAUGUAUACAUCAGUUUCUGUUGAAACUUUCCUCGAACAAAGGGAGCCCUAGAACCUGUAUACUUGUUUGAUCUGUUGGACAAACAUCCCUCUUUGUUUAACAUACAAAAGAGGGUAUUUUCUUAACAUCAGUGUGUGCCAUCCCAUUGUCUGAUACAGCAAGCAAGAAAAAGGAAAUUGGCAAUGAACCGGCCUGUCCUUGCAAAGCAGAAAGGAUGUUUGGUGUUGGGGAGGUUAGUUAUUGCAUUGGGAGAUGUCUUUAUUAUCAGUUCAUCCAGUUUUAGGUACGGGGAGAAGAAUCAACAAACAAGUUCGAGAAGAUGUUUUUCAGCUCUGAUUUGGGGAAUGGUUUCAGGCUCAUAGUGAUGUUCACUGUCUCGAGUUUUUCUUCUUCAUGUAUUGGAAAUGGGCUUAUUAAAUUAAGCCCAUUUUCUUUACAGCUUUUAUUUCCAUGAAAGGUUUUAGUGUUCUGCUUUGUUGUGUUAAGUGUAGGUGGACAUAUGGAGUUCAGAGCUUGCUUAUAUUGAAGCUGAAAAAUAAACCUUUUGUUGAUACACAGGGCUGUUUUGGUUGAGACACAGGGUGAAUAGAUUGAGCAUAAAGUGGUCAAUGCAGGAAGCGUUGUCAGUCUUGUUAUGCUAAGCAGAUGAAGAAGAAGAGCAGGAAACGGAUUUAUCAGGUUUGGGUUUAUGUUCUGUGACUGCAGUGAUAGACAAUUGAGUUUCAAGGGAAAAGGGUAGCUUAGAAGUUGAUUGUAGGCCUGCAAGUAGGUUGCUUCUGUUGAGGGGUCUGAGUCUGUAAAUCCUUUCUGUUCGAGCUAAUCCGAGAUCAAUGCUUUUAUUGUUUUGUGGGCUGCCACUUUUUCUCACAUUUGUUUGUCAAUUCAACUGGGAUGGAUGCAUGGUUUCAUUUUCGGAUUUCUAUUGAAAUGUUUAGCAAAUGAAAGCAGGAUUGGUUAUUUUGUUCUUA